rnacentral:rRNA from 1 species
GACGAACGCUGGCGGCGUGCUUAACACAUGCAAGUCGAACGGAAAGGCCCUGCUUUUGUGGGGUGCUCGAGUGGCGAACGGGUGAGUAACACGUGAGUAACCUGCCCUUGACUUUGGGAUAACUUCAGGAAACUGGGGCUAAUACCGGAUAGGAGCUCCUGCUGCAUGGUGGGGGUUGGAAAGUUUCGGCGGUUGGGGAUGGACUCGCGGCUUAUCAGCUUGUUGGUGGGGUAGUGGCUUACCAAGGCUUUGACGGGUAGCCGGCCUGAGAGGGUGACCGGCCACAUUGGGACUGAGAUACGGCCCAGACCCCUACGGGGGGCAGGAGGGGGGAAUAUUGCAAAAUGGGCGGAAGCCUGAUGCAGCAACGCCGGGUGGGGGAUGACGGCCUUCGGGUUGUAAACCGCUUUCGCCUGUGACGAAGCGUGAGUGACGGUAAUGGGUAAAGAAGCACCGGCUAACUACGU